rfam:Daucus carota subsp. sativus cultivar DH1 chromosome 2, whole genome shotgun sequence.
GAGAGUGUGAUGAAAAAAUCAUUCGGAUUCCCUAUGAAUUAUCCAUGUUUACCAACCAGCUACUUCUGACUCUC